GACGAACGCUGGCGGCGUGCUUAACACAUGCAAGUCGAACGGAAAGGCCCUGCUUUUGUGGGGUGCUCGAGUGGCGAACGGGUGAGUAACACGUGAGUAACCUGCCCUUGACUUUGGGAUAACUUCAGGAAACUGGGGCUAAUACCGGAUAGGAGCUCCUGCUGCAUGGUGGGGGUUGGAAAGUUUCGGCGGUUGGGGAUGGACUCGCGGCUUAUCAGCUUGUUGGUGGGGUAGUGGCUUACCAAGGCUUUGACGGGUAGCCGGCCUGAGAGGGUGACCGGCCGCAUUGGGACUGAGGUACGGCCCAGACUCCUACGGGAGGCAGCAGGGGGGAAUAUUGCACAAUGGGCGGAAGCCGGAUGCAGCAACGCCGCGUGCGGGAUGACGGCCUUCGGGUUGUAGACCGCUUUCGCCUGUGACGAAGCGUGAGUGACGGUAAUGGGUAAAGAAGCACCGGCUAACUACGUG
rnacentral:rRNA from 1 species